rnacentral:tRNA from 1 species
GAGGGUCUAGCUCAGUGGUAGAGCACAUGCUUAGCGUGCGCGAGGUCCUGGGUUCAAUCCCCAGUGCCUCCA